UGUAUGUACGUAGUCGGGAAUUUUCUGAUGCUACCUAAUACAUAAAUUAACCCCAUUAAACCCUCCCAAUAACGACAGACAACUUCGUAUGGAUGAAACAGGCCACAACAUUUAUUAUAACAUAAAUAAAUACUGCAUAAUACAUCCAUAACUUUAUUUAUUCAAAAUCUUCUUUCUGUAACCAAAAUUGUUAAACAUAAAUAAGCAUAAAUUAACAUAUAUACAUAUAUAACAACACACAGUGUUAUACAGUAACCCAACCAUCCUUGCCAAUAAACAUACCGUGGUUCCUAAUCACCACUUCCUGUCACCUCCUCCCUCGUCAUAAAUCAUACCAUUCCAAUGCCCGCCAUCAGCCGACCUUAUCCACG